rnacentral:miRNA from 1 species
UUUAGUAAAAUUAGUCGUCACU